GAUGAACGCUGGCGGCGUGCCUAAUACAUGCAAGUCGAGCGAACAGAUGAGGAGCUUGCUCCUCUGACGUUAGCGGCGGACGGGUGAGUAACACGUGGAUAACCUACCUAUAAGACUGGGAUAACUUCGGGAAACCGGAGCUAAUACCGGAUAAUAUAUUGAACCGCAUGGUUCAAUAGUGAAAGACGGUUUUGCUGUCACUUAUAGAUGGAUCCGCGCCGCAUUAGCUAGUUGGUAAGGUAACGGCUUACCAAGGCAACGAUGCGUAGCCGACCUGAGAGGGUGAUCGGCCACACGGGAGCUGGGACACGGUCCAGACUCCUACGGGAGGCAGCAGUAGGGAAUCUUCCGCAGUGGGCGAAAGCCUGACGGAGCAACGCCGCGUGAGUGAUGAAGGUCUUCGGAGCGUAAAACUCUGUUAUUAGGGAAGAACAAAUGUGUAAGUAACUAUGCACGUCUUGACGGUACCUAAUCAGAAAGCCACGGCUAACUACGUG
rnacentral:rRNA from 1 species